AUUGAACGCUGGCGGCAGGCCUAACACAUGCAAGUCGAGCGGAUGAAGAGAGCUUGCUCUCUGAUUUAGCGGCGGACGGGUGAGUAAUGCCUAGGAAUCUGCCUGGUAGUGGGGGAUAACGUUCCGAAAGGAACGCUAAUACCGCGUACGUCCUACGGGAGAAAGCAGGGGACCUUCGGGCCUUGCGCUAUCAGAUGAGCCUAGGUCGGAUUAGCUAGUUGGUGAGGUAAUGGCUCACCAAGGCGACGAUCCGUAACUGGUCUGAGAGGAUGAUCAGGCACACAGGAACUGAGACACGGUCCAGACUCCUACGGGAGGCAGCAGUGGGGAAUAUUGGACAAUGGGCGAAAGCCUGAUCCAGCCAUGCCGCGUGUGUGAAGAAGGUCUUCGGAUUGUAAAGCACUUUAAGUUGGGAGGAAGGGCAGUAAGUUAAUACCUUGCUGUUUUGACGUUACCGACAGAAUAAGCACCGGCUAACUUCGUGCCAGCCGCCGCCGUAAGAC
rnacentral:rRNA from 1 species